rnacentral:rRNA from 1 species
UGCCAGCCGCCGCGGUAAUACGAAGGUCCCAAGCGUUGUUCGGAAUCACUGGGUUUAAAGGGUCCGUAGGCGGUCUGGUAAGUCAGAGGUGAAGUCCUGCAGCUCAACUGUAGCAUUGCCUUUGAUACUGCCAGACUUGAGUUAUUGUGAGGUAGUUAGAAUGUGUAGUGUAGCGGUGAAAUGCAUAGAUAUUACACAGAAUACCGAUUGCGAAAGCAGAUUACUAACAAUAUACUGACGCUGAGGGACGAAAGCGUGGGUAGCGAACAGGAUUAGAUA